rnacentral:rRNA from 1 species
GUGCCAGCCGCCGCGGUAAUACAGAGGGGGCUAGCGUUGUUCGGAAUUACUGGGCGUAAAGGGCGCGUAGGCGGCCCUCUAAGUCGAACGUGAAAUCCCCGGGCUCAACCCGGGAACUGCGUCCGAUACUGGAGGGCUCGAAUCCGGGAGAGGGAUGUGGAAUUCCAGGUGUAGCGGUGAAAUGCGUAGAUAUCUGGAGGAACACCGGUGGCGAAGGCGGCAUCCUGGACCGGUAUUGACGCUGAGGCGCGAAAGCCAGGGGAGCAAACGGGAUUAGAUACCCUUGUAGUCC